GCAAUUCUAGAGCUAAUACACGCAAUAAAGCUCCGACCUUUUGGGAAGAGCGCAUUUAUUAGACCAAAACCAAUCGGGCUUCGGCCUGAGCUUUGGUGACUCUGAAUAACUAAGCUGAUCGCACGGUCUUUGUACCGGCGACGCAUCUUUCAAAUGUCUGCCUUAUCAACUUUCGAUGGUAGUUUAUGUGCCUACCAUGGUUGUAACGGGUAACGGAGAAUAAGGGUUCGACUCCGGAGAGGGAGCCUGAGAAACGGCUACCACAUCCAAGGAAGGCAGCAGGCG
rnacentral:rRNA from 1 species